UACAGAGGGGGCAAGCGUUGUUCGGAAUUACUGGGCGUAAAGGGCGCGUAGGCGGCCUUCUAAGUCGAACGUGAAAUCCCUGGGCUCAACCCAGGAACUGCGUCCGAUACUGGGAGGCUUGAAUCCGGGAGAGGGAUGCAGAAUUCCAGGUGUAGCGGUGAAAUGCGUAGAUAUCUGGAGGAAUACCGGUGGCGAAGGCGGCAUCCUGGACCGGCAUUGACGCUGAUGAGCGAAAGCUAGGGGAGCAAACGGG
rnacentral:rRNA from 1 species